GGAGCACUGAAUGCAGACGGCUCUGAGAGAAGCUUUAGCACAGUAUAAAAAAUUGAAACAUCCAGAAUGAAGAACACAACCAUCUGCUCUAUCCUUUAGCACCAUCCAUGCUGUCUGCAGAGGCUGCCAGUUUUGUGGAACACUGGGGCAGAGGAAAAGUUUGACAACUUGUUCGUGUGACCCAAGGAACAAGUGCCCAUGUUUACCUUGGAGGUUGGAAGAUGAGUUAAGACAGACGCUAGAGCAUAUGGGCCCUAAGGCAGCGACCACCCCUGGGACAUUUUUUCAUGGGUAUUUGAUGUACCAACUGUAAAGUUAGAUGGU
rnacentral:lncRNA from 1 species